GGCAGGAUUGUCCACUCUGAGCUCUGCUGUCGAGCAGGUCCUCCGUCUCCAGCCUCUCCUCUGCUCCUCUUCCUCCUCGGGUUCUUUUGAAAUCCUGUGGGGAAGGAAAAGACAACAAAACAAAGGAAUACAUUAUUUUUUUAAAGACUGAAUUGUGCACUGAGAGGAAAAAAACGACGACAUUUUUGCUUAUUUUCUUAAACAAAAUUAGAAUCACACUUUUUACAUAAUAGGCUUGUCUUACACAUUCAAGUAUAGUUAAUUAAUGGGGAAAAGUGAUUUUUGUGUGUCAUGGUAAAAUAAAAUGUAAUAUUU